AAGAAUUCCUAGGCCAAGGGAAGCAGUUUCAGAAACAACUCUCCAAGUUCCAUUUCCAAGGAAAGUCUUAACCAUUUCUCCCUUCUGGCGUACCCUCUUUCAUUGAAAUCCAUGCAGAAUAUACCAGAGAUGGGCAGUAGCGAACCCCUUCCCAUCGCAGAUGGUGACAGGAGGAGGAAGAAGAAGCGGAGGGCCCGGGCCACUGACUCCUUGCCAGGAAAGUUUGAAGAUAUGUACAAGCUGACCUCUGAAUUGCUUGGAGAGGGAGCCUAUGCCAAAGUUCAAGGUGCCGUGAGCCUACAGAAUGGCAAAGAGUAUGCCGUCAAAAUCAUCGAGAAACAAGCAGGGCACAGUCGGAGUAGGGUGUUUCGAGAGGUGGAGACGCUGUAUCAGUGUCAGGGAAACAAGAACAUUUUGGAGCUGAUUGAGUUCUUUGAAGAUGACACAAGGUUUUACUUGGUCUUUGAGAAAUUGCAAGGAGGUUCCAUCUUAGCCCACAUCCAGAAGCAAAAGCACUUCAAUGAGCGAGAAGCCAGCCGA
rnacentral:sRNA from 1 species